rnacentral:rRNA from 1 species
AUGGAUACGGCUAUAGAUAGGAUGGCAAGUGCUCUAAUUCUAGUACCAAAAAAUGUACUUCAAUUUGUUGGAAUUGUAGGCAUUGGGAGAGAGCUAACUAGUGCUUUACUACAGAUAUGUAAUUGCUUACCUGCAUGCAUGUGUUGGAGCAGGUGCCCACGUAGAUCACACUUGCUCUUUAGAGAACAAAGAGAUUCAGAUUUGCUUGCAAGAAGUAGCUCUGCCCGCGAUGUGGCUCACCCAUGCCUCGCUCCUUGCCAGCGAGUCACACCAGUUGCGCUACUUGAUCCCAUGGCCCACCACUGCCCCAUGGUGUUAGAUUCUACCAGUAAUAUUCCUCAAGUGUGGUUUGGCACAUCGUCGGGGAAAAGUGUUUCUAUCAUUUUCCAACAGACUUUCCUCCAAAUUUAA